UGAUAGUCCGGCUUUUGCAGGGAAGGGAGUGGGGCGAACAUGGCUGAACGCAGCCGGGGCGACCCAACGUGCAGCGGGGUGGGCAGCCGGCAGGACACGGCCCCUAGCAGUGGCGGCUGCAACUUUCCAGAGUACGAGCUUCCCGAGCUAAACACACGCGCUUUCCACGUGGGCGCCUUCGGGGACCUGUGGCGUGGCCGGCUGCGCGGACAAGGGGACUUGACGUUGAAGGAGCAGCUGGCAUCCGUGGGGUGCGGAGGGAUCGCCGACUCCAGCCGAGAGGAUGCCGCGGUGGCCCGGGAUCUGGGCUGCAGCCUGGAGGCGGCGGCCGAGCUGAGGGCAGUUUGCGGCCUUGAUAAACUGAAGUGCCUCGAGGAAGCCGAGGAUCCAGAAGUCAUCCCAGAGGACACUGCCUUAGUGACGUUGGGAGUUAGAAAGAAGCUUUUGGAACAUCGGGAAGAAACCAUAACGAUAGAUCGGGUCUGCAGACAAGAAACAUUUGCUUAUGAAAUGGAGUCACAUGCCAUAGGGAAAAAGCCUGAAAAUCCAGCAGACAUGAUUGAAGAAGGGGAGCUUAUCCUAUCUGUGAAUAUCUUGUACCCUGUUAUAUUUCAUAAGCACAAAGAACACAAACCAUACCAGACGAUGCUAGUGCUGGGCAGUCAAAAGCUCACCGAACUGAGGGAUUCGAUUUGCUGUGUCAGUGACCUCCAGAUUGGUGGGGAAUUCAGCAACACUCCUGACCAAGCCCCUGAGCACAUCAGCAAAGACCUAUACAAAUCAGCCUUCUUUUAUUUUGAAGGAACAUUUUACAAUGAUAAAAGAUACCCUGAAUGCAGAGAUUUGAGCAGAACUAUUAUUGACUGGUCAGAGUCCCACGAUAGAGGCUAUGGGAAGUUUCAGACUGCUAACAUGGAAGACCUCACCUUCAACGACUUAAACAUUAAACUGGGUUUUCCCUACCUAUACUGUCACCAGGGCGACUGCGAACAUGUUGUUGUCAUUACUGACAUACGGCUUGUGCACCGGGAUGACUGCUUGGAUAGGACACUUUAUCCCCUUCUUAUCAAGAAGCACUGGCUAUGGACCAGAAAAUGUUUUGUUUGUAAAAUGUACACAGCCAGAUGGGUGACGAACAAUGACAGUUUUGCACCAGAAGACCCAUGUUUCUUUUGUGACGUUUGCUUCCGAAUGCUCCACUAUGAUUCAGAAGGCAACAAACUGGGGGAAUUCCUCGCUUAUCCUUAUGUUGAUCCUGGAACCUUUAACUAAUCAUCAACAACAAAAUGUGUACCCUUGUGAAUUAAAAUGUCCUCUUGGAUGGUUACUUUAUUUCCAAGAAAUGCCAGAGGAACAGGAUCAAUCUGAAACAAUCAUCUAAAGUUACCCCCAUUCCCCCCCAAAAAAAGUUCAGAUCACAGAUUUUCUUAUAAUUUGAUUGUAUUUAAAUGCUUAGAAAUAUAUUAUUUUGGAAUUUAUUUUGAAGGUUAGUCUCUAUUUAGUGCUUUUUGCCCAUUUUUAAAUGCUGUUUAUCUUACUGAGUUAUAGGAGUGCUUUCAUGUAUUCUGAAUAUAAAUCCUUUGUCAGGCACACAAGUACCGAUUCUCUCCCCCAGCCUGUGACUUGCCUGAUCAUUGUGUCCAGAUUAGCUUUUUGCCAAUCAUUAGCAAAAAUUAAUUAAUGAUACAUCAAGUGGUGGAAGUGUUUUGGAAAUUCUCUGAAGAAUGUGAGAGCUACACCCUGUACCAUGAGGCUUCCAAGGUUAUAUUUAAAUUCAACUGAAUUCCACAUUCCCUGGAUGGUUAAGAACACUACUAUAUAAAUCAAGCCAUAUAAGCCUUUGAAUUUAAAAGGCUGACAGUGAUAUGUUUUAUGGACCUAAAUGCAAUAAGUUGAGUGGUGUGUAGAUGA